UUUUUCACCCAAUCUAUUAUUAUCAUGUAAACUACUACACCAUUUUCAUGAUAGACAGACAUAACACCAAUUUUUCUUUCUCUAUGAUUUUCUACGGGUUUCUUUGAUUUUUCACCGUCAAAAACCAAAAUUCACCGUACAAGAAAAACACACAACGCUUCAAAAACAAUCGUUUUUUUUAUAACAGAUUCUUUACUCUCUCUGUUUCUCUUCUUCCCUCUAUCUAUGUAUUCAUCGUCCUUUGUCUUUCUAUUUUCCUAUUGUCCUUUUUGUUUGCCUUUGCUGAAAUUCCCUAUACUCCUCCCUCUUUUCUCUUCUACACUGCUUUUGCUACACCUUUGUUGAUUUACUUUAAUUCCUUAGCUAAUUUCUAAAUUAUUUCCUCACCGCCGUUUCCAUUUGUGUUUUUCACUUACUUGCACUUUGAUUUUUGAUUAUGCUCUGUCUUUGACUUACUCCUUCGCCAGCGCAGAAGAAUUGGAUAACGACUGCUUAUUUUGACGCCCAUGAAGCGUUCGUAAAUAUGCCCCAUACUUGAUCUUACCCACAGAUUCAGAAAAUGCUGCAAAUUUAAUCAACACUUGCCGAUGGUAGUGCAAACGAACAAAAGGCCGUGAAAAGAUUCAGUUUGGCCUUCUCCAUUCGUAUUUGAGGUUAGAUUAUCCUCUCGCCCGACUAGGUAUCUGGGACGUGACGUUGCAGCUCUUUAAGAUGUUGCCAUUCAGUUUAUGCAGUAGCGCAGAGAUGUCAUGACCCGAAAUUUUCCACCGACGGGACCGUGAUGGCGCCUAAUAUUUCACUUGCUAGGCAAUCCAACA